rnacentral:pre_miRNA from 1 species
CCUCGAACGCAAGUCUGAACGAUGAAUUUAAUUUGUUCAAACUUUUGUCCGAGUCU